rnacentral:rRNA from 1 species
CCCUUAGAUGUUCUGGGCCGCACGCGCGCUACACUGAUGCAUUCAACGAGUCUAAAACCUGCUCUGAUAGGGGUGGGUAAUCUUUUGAAUGUGCAUCGUGAUUGGGAUAGAUGAUUGCAAUUUUUCAUCUUCAACGAGGAAUGCCUAGUAAACGCAAGUCAUCAGCUUGCAUUGAUUACGUCCCUGCCCUUUGUACACACCGCCCGUCGCUCCUACCGAUUGAAUGAUCCGUUGAAUAUCAUGGAUUGAGGAUGCAAGCAGGUUCGCCUGUCUUCAUCUUCGAGAAGUGAAGUAAAUCUUAUCAUUUAGAGGAAGGAGAAGUCGUAACA